CUCUUCCCCACAUUGCUGCUCGCCCGGAGUCCUACCUCCAAGCGAUCCAAUGAAACCGUGCACCACCCCGACGAUUCGACAUCCGAGGAGAAUUGUGAAGAUGAGAAAAAGGCAAGGACCCGAUCAUCUACCCCCAUUACUCAACCCAAACUGAAGCCAAGGUACCUUCACGUUCCACCAAAUCAUAUUGUUUAGUUUUCUGACCCCCUCUUUAUACGAAUACUAAGAACAGGGUGGGAAACGGUGAUUUAUGUAUGCAGUCAUUCCGAACAAGACCAUGGAGGGUCCUGUUUUGCCAA
rnacentral:lncRNA from 1 species